rnacentral:tRNA from 1 species
GGGUGUUUGUGCCGGUAGAUCAAGUUGGGUUUUCGAUCUCAUAAUCCCUCGGUCGCGGGUUCGAGUCCCGCCCGCCCCA